AUUGAACGCUGGCGGCAGGCCUAACACAUGCAAGUCGAGCGGAUGAAGGGAGCUUGCUCCUGGAUUCAGCGGCGGACGGGUGAGUAAUGCCUAGGAAUCUGCCUGGUAGUGGGGGAUAACGUCCGGAAACGGGCGCUAAUACCGCAUACGUCCUGAGGGAGAAAGUGGGGGAUCUUCGGACCUCACGCUAUCAGAUGAACCUAGGUCGGAUUAGCUAGUUGGUGGGGUAAAGGCCUACCAAGGCGACGAUCCGUAACUGGUCUGAGAGGAUGAUCAGUCACACUGGAACUGAGACACGGUCCAGACUCCUACGGGAGGCAGCAGUGGGGAAUAUUGGACAAUGGGCGAAAGCCUGAUCCAGCCAUGCCGCGUGUGUGAAGAAGGUCUUCGGAUUGUAGAGCACUUUAAGUUGGGAGGAAGGGCAGUAAGUUAAUACCUUGCUGUUUUGACGUUACCAACAGAAUAAGCACCGGCUAACUUCGUG
rnacentral:rRNA from 1 species